rnacentral:rRNA from 1 species
GAUGAACGCUGGCGGCGUGCCUAAUACAUGCAAGUCGAGCGAACGGACGAGAAGCUUGCUUUUCUGAUGUUAGCGGCGGACGGGUGAGUAACACGUGGAUAACCUACAUAUAAGACUGGGAUAACUUCGGGAAACCGGAGCUAAUACCGGAUAAUAUUUUGAACCGCAUGGUUCAAAAGUGAAAGACGGUCUUGCUGUCACUUAUAGAUGGAUCCGCGCUGCAUUAGCUAGUUGGUAAGGUAACGGCUUACCAAGGCAACGAUGCAUAGCCGACCUGAGAGGGUGAUCGACCACCCUGGAACUGAGACACGGUCCAGACUCCUACGGGAGGCAGCAGUAUGGAAUCUUCCGCAAUGGACGAAAGCCUAACGGAGCAACGCCGCGUGAGUGAUGAAGGUCUUCGGAUCGUAAAACUCUGUUAUUAGUGAAGUACAUAUGUGUAAGUAACUGUGCACAUCUUGACGGUACCUAAUCAGAAAGCCACGGCUAACUACGUG